GGCCUAACGGCUGAACCAGCAACUUGGAAGAAUCCUGUUUAUAGUUUCCAUUUCUAUUUAUUAUGAGCAAGAUAAGUAAUAUUAGAAGGGAGUAUUACUUUAGUAAUAUUAUGUAAAUGGGUUAUUUCUGAAUAGAAAAGUGAUAAUGACAAUUAUCUAUUUAGAAGUCUUGACUAAAUUACGUGCCAGCAGUCGCGGUAAUACGUAGAAGACUAGUGUUAGUCAUCUUAAUUAGGUUUAAAGGUACCUAGACGGUGAAUUAAACCCUAAAAGGGUAUUUAUUCACUAGAGUUUUAUAGGAGAAGAGAGAAUUUUUGGAGGAGAGAUAAAAUUUUUUGAUACCAAAAGGACUGAUAACGGCGAAGGCAGUCUUCUAUUUAAAACUGACGUUGAGGGACGAAGGCUUGGGGAGCAAUAAGGAUUAGAUACCCUAGUAGUCCAAGCAGAAAAUUAUGAAUGCCAUAAGUUAGAAUUAUUAAUUAUCUAAAAAAAAAAUUAGAUAAAGUUUCAUUUAUGAGUAUUAUAAGUUAGACCUUAGAUUUAUAACAUAAAUGAAAUCCUUUCUGACAUAUAAAUGAAAGUGUAAGCAUUCCACCUUAAGAGUAUAAUGGCAACAUUGAAACUGAAAUCAUUAGACCGUUUCUGAAACCAGUAGUGAAGUAUGUUAUUUAAUUCGAUGAUCCGCGAAGAAUCUUACCACAAUUUGUAUAAUAUUUCUAUUAUAAUAGAAGAAUCUAUAAAUCAAAGUCUUAUUAAAGAUUGUAAGGUUUAAAGAUUGUAGACAAAAUGUUAUUAUAUAAAAAAUAAUUUCUUUAAUUAUGCGGUUAUUUUUAUAUAAUAACAUGGGGUAUUAUAAUAUGUAAAUAUUACAAGCGUUGCAUGGCUGUCUUCAGUUGAUGUCGUGAGAUAUUGGUUAACUCCUUUAAUUGACGAAAACCCUAACUUUAUUUAAUUUUAUAAAGUAACUAACUAAGAUAAUGGUUUAAGAAUAGGGACUAAGACAAGUCAUCAUGACC
rnacentral:rRNA from 2 species